UUUUCCCUGCUCAGGCAGCCACAGCACAGAGAUAGAAUUUGUCAUAAGGUUAGUCCAGCUUAAAUAAACAGAAGUCAAGUUAGUGCUUCACCGACUGAUGUUUUAGCAGAUGCUCUGCCCUUUCAAGGAGCGCAAGGGGCAAAUGUGAGAACUUAAGGCUAUUUUACAUUUAUGCAAUGAGUUACACUGUUCAAAAAACUUUCACAUCUUUCUGUCCUUGUGCAACCUAAUUUCUCUUACCAGAAACCUGAGGUUCCAAAGUUCCAGAGGCCGAAGUCCAAGAUCAAGGUGCUAGUGGAUUAAUUUCCUGGUGAGGACCCUCUUCCUGGCUUGUACCUGUGAUUCCUAUAAGUCUCCAUUCUGAAGCUCUCUUGUCCUUUGACCAAGCAUCCAGCACAUCCUCACAACACCCAUAGCUACCUUGAAGACUCUCUUCAAAGCAAUUCUUACUGUUGAUUCCACCACCAUUGUUCCUGACACAUGAAGCAGGAAGACCCAAGGCCAGAGGUCAUGGCGGAGAGGUGAGCAGAUAGUCCUCAAAGGCAGAUAGGGCUGGGAUUGGAGAGGAAUUCCCUAGUAGCUGUUAUAAAUGGAGACAAGACAGGUGUGAACAAACAACCAAGGACUGGAAGAAAGAGGAGGGAGGAGUCAGGUAGAGAUAGUACUGGGAGUGGAUGCCUGGGCUGCCUAGUGACAUAAAGGGACCUAAAGAGGGCUUAGGGAGCAGGUCCGAGAGGGAGAGAAUGAAGAAGGUAAGGAAUUCAGUGGGGCUGGGGGUGGUGAUAGACUAGAUUCAGGGAACCUGUGGGCUGGGUGUUGGUUUGUGUUGUUGAAAUUACUUCCUCAAGAUUUCACAUCUAACCAAAUCUCAACAAUCAUUUACUAAAUAUUGUUCUGUCCCAGGAUGGGCAGAUUGGAGUGUUAUGCCUGCUUCUCCCCAUCCCCCACCAAAGAAAUAACAAAGGCAGUUCAAUUCCUGACCCCAAGGCUGUCACAAUCCAGACUAAGAAGUGCCCUGAGAGCCUGGCGGGAUCAUCUUGGUUCACAGACUCUGUAUCCAAGGGGUCUGAGUGGCCAAGGAACACCCAGAACUCCUGCCUCCUAUAAGUCCAAGGCUGAGCAUAGCAAAGUAUGGGGAGGGAAGGGUCUUCUAAUACUGAAGCAAGUAGGAGCAGACUUUUCAGUAAGAAGAAAAGUUCCAGAAAUUCAUAUUAGAUUACAAAGUAUAAAGCAAUAAACUAGCUGAAACAAUAAGAUUCAAAUUAGUACAAUUCAGCAAGUACAUAUUAGUGCUCCUGUGUGCCCAUCCUGGGCUAGUCUACUUGAGGAAAUGGACACAGGAGAAACGAACAGGGUUUAAAGGGGAGGUAUUUCUUCAGGCACUAAGCUCUGCAGAUGGCUGCCUUUCAACUGGGGACCCCAUGACAAUUUACACAAGGUCUCUCCCACGACCUCUCAAAGCAUUCUUUUAGGACCCCAGUCCCUGCCCCCAAGCAGCCAGGAGUCUGGUUCACUGGUAUCAGAUCAACCAGUCCCUUCCUGAAACUUUUGUAGAGAAAUGGAAGUGAUUUAAACAUGGAAUUUCAGCCAGGUGGAGUGGCUCAUGCCUAUAAUCCUAGUACUUUGAAAGACUGAGGUGGGCAGAUUGCCUGGGCUCAGGAGUUUGAUACCAGCCUUGGCAACAUGGUGAAACCCUGUCUCUACUAAAAAUACACACACCAAAAAAAAAAAAAAUUAGCCAAGCAUGGUGGCGCGUGCCUGUAAUCCCAGCUACUUGGGUGGCUGAGGUUCAGGAACCACUUGAACCUGGGAGGCAGAGGUUGCAGUGAGCCCAGAUCAUGCCACUGCAUUCCAGCCUGGGCAAUAGAGCGAGACUCUGUCUCCAAAAAACAAAACAAACAAAUAAAACAGGAAAUUUCAAAUACAAAAGCAAGAACAAAGAUGGAGAAUGGGUUGGAGGUGGAAAAAGCACAGAAGUAAGAGGUAGGGCCAGUAAGGAGAGUACGAAUACUUAGGCUCUGGGAGUUGAGGCAGCAAGUAGAGCCAAGGGGCAGGGACAAAGAAGACACAGUCUCUACUGACUGGAUGUAGAAGAAACGAAACGGGAGAGUCUAAGAUGACCUUCAGUAGAAGUGGUGGAAGGGUGAAUGAGUAACGUCAGUAGCUCAGAGGAGAAGCAUUUGAAGAAAGAAGAUUGUGAGUGCAAUAAUUCAAUACUCUUUUCUUUCCCGAACUCUUCCUUUGGAAUCCCUGUUAGUUCCCCUCUCCAGGCUUUGUUCUCCACUCCACUUCUCGCACUGGGUUUCUAAAAGGAAUCUUUACUGGAUCAUUCUCUGCAUCUAGCCUCACAGUGGUUGCCAUCACCUUAAGGUGAAAGGCCAAGGUCCAGAGCAUGGCAUAAAAGCUCUCGGAACUCUGCCUUACCUCUAUCUUAGCCUCAUCUCCUGCCAUUCUCCUUCUUGGGCUCAACACUCCUGCCAUCCUGAAAUAUUUGCAUUGAAAAAGACAGCCAGUUUCAUGUGUCAGUGCUUUUGUACUUGUUAACCUCACCCUGACAUUUAUUUCCUACAUUUCCUGGUUGAACUUCUCACUAUCCUGUGUCAGGUGGCUAAAAACCCAGCAAAGCAUUCCCUGGUGGUCCUUUCCACUCUCCUAAGGAACAUUUGUUCCAGGAAGGCAAGUCUGAUGCAAUAUGUGAAAAUUAUUCAGUGUAACCCACUAUAUUAAUGGCUAACGAAGAAAAAUCACAUGGUCUUAUCAACUGAUACAGAAAAAGCAUUUAAAAAAUAUAACAUGUAUUCAUGAUAAAAACUCUUAGAAAAAAUGGAUUAGAGGGGAACCUCCUCAACUUGAUAAAGAGUAUCUACCAAAAGGCUCUAGCUAAUACUAAUUUUAAUGGUGAAGGAUGGAAUGCUUUCUCCAUAAGAUCAAGAACAAGGUAACGAUAUCUACUCUCACCACUCUUAUUCAACAUAAUACAGGUGGUUCUGGCCAAUUUCAAAAGGCAUGAAAAGAAAAAAAAGUAUGCAGAUGAGAGAGGAAGAAAUAAAACUAUCCCUAUUUGCAGAUGAAAUGAUUGUCUAGGUAGAAAAUUCUAUUGAAAUCUAAAAAACAGCCUACUAGAACUAAUAAGUGACUUCUCCAAGGUUGUAAGAUAUAAUACAAACAUAUAAAAGCAAAUUUUAUUUUAGCAUUCAUAACAGAUGGAAGUUAUAGUACUUGAUACAGGAAUUUGGAAUCUUAGAGAAUGGACCUUAGAUCACCAUGAGAGGAUCUCCUAAUUCUCUCUCAUCCCUUCAGUCUGUCUUGAGAAGUCUAGCUAUGCUGAAAUACUACCAGCUGGAAAGGUAGUAUUUGGUGUCCAUAACAGAUAGACAUCAAAAUAAAAAACAAAUGCCAUUCACAGUUGCUAAAACAAACAAGUAUGCCUCUAACAAAACUUGUACAGGACUUCAACUGUACAUGGUUUGUAGCAGAAAACUACAAAACACUGAUGAAUAAACCAAAGAAGAUCUAAA